ACUUAAGGCAGUGGAGGUGAGUGUAUCUCUUGCUGGAGAUCCUUGCCUACCUGUGGUCUUCUAAAGGUGACAGUCUUGAGCCUAAGCCUGCUGUUCAAAAUAAGUUGAUUUUGUGCUCUGUCUUGGGUUUCAGGUCUUCAGGCUGAUAUAGACUUUUGUGGCAUCAGUGUGCAGAAAAAUAUGGAUUGUGGCCUGAAGAGGCGACUAGCUUUUGAGAAGGAGCUGAAAGAAACUUGUUCGUGAGAGACUGUUCUGCAGCCGUAAGAUUUUACAAGUUGGAGUCACCAGCAGCAGGAAAUCACCGAUAUUUUUUCAGAUUCUUGUGUAACUGGAGAUACUGAUAUGUCCUUCCCUGCUGUAAAUAAAAUAAAA